CCUACGGGAGGCAGCAGUGGGGAAUAUUGUGCAAUGGGGGAAACCCUGACACAGCGACGCCGCGUGAGCGAAGAAGGCCUUCGGGUCGUAAAGCUCAAUAGUAUGGGAAGAAAUAAAUGACGGUACCAUACGAAAGCCCCGGCUAACUACGUGCCAGCAGCCGCGGUAAU
rnacentral:rRNA from 1 species